rnacentral:rRNA from 1 species
AAUCAACGCUGGCGGCGCGCCUAACACAUGCAAGUCGAACGAGAAAGCGGGGGCAACCUCGUGAGUAAAGUGGCGUACGGGUGAGUAACACGUGGGUAAUCUACCCUUGGGUGGGGAAUAACCCUGGGAAACCGGGGAUAAUACCGCAUAAUCCCGAGAGGGCAAAGGAGCAAUCCGCCUAAGGAGGAGCCCGCGGCCGAUUAGCUAGUUGGUGGGGUAAAAGCCCACCAAGGCAAAGAUCGGUAGCCGGCCUGAGAGGGCACACGGCCACACUGGCACUGAAACACGGGCCAGACUCCUACGGGAGGCAGCAGUGGGGAAUCUUGCACAAUGGGGGAAACCCUGAUGCAGCGACGCCGCGUGAGCGAUGAAGCCCUUCGGGGUGUAAAGCUCUUUCGGCAGGGACGAAAGAUGACGGUACCUGCAGAAGCAGCUGCGGCUAACUACGUGCCAGCAGCCGCGGUAAUACGUAGGCAGCAAGCGUUGUUCGGAGUUACUGGGCGUAAAGGGUGCGUAGGCGGUCCCUUAAGUUCGGUGUGAAAUCUCCCGGCUCAACUGGGAGGGUGCGCCGGAAACUGAGGGACUCGAGUGCGGGAGGGGAGAGCGGAAUUCCUGGUGUAGCGGUGAAAUGCGUAGAUAUCAGGAGGAACACCGGUGGUGCAGACGGCUCUCUGGACCGUAACUGACGCUGAGGCACGAAAGCGUGGGUAGCAAACAGGAUUAGAUACCCUGGUAGUCCACGCCCUAAACGAUGCAUGCUUGGUGCUGGUGAUUCAGUUCAUCGGUGCCGGAGCUAACGCGUUAAGCAUGCCGCCUGGGGAGUACAGUCGCAAGGCUG